UUUCAGCAGGUCAUGCAGUCUUGACCGCAGCCCAGCCAGGGACCUGGCGUCACCAAGUCCUGGUCUUUGACAUUUGCUGCACCUUAGAGUCACCAGGGGCAGCUAUUACAAGUCUCAGUGCCUAGAGUACACCCCAAGUCGGUGAAAUCAGACACUGGGGAAAUGAGGCACAAGCCUUAGUAUUUAUAAAAACACCCCAGAAAAUUCCAAAGAGCAGCUAAGUUUGUGUGGAAGAAACAGUGACCCUGUCUUCUGGGUCUUAGACAGCCUCUCCUAUUUGUAUCUUUGGACCUAAAGUUAGUCUCUUGUGGGCAGACAACAUGCUUUUAUUUUUUAAUCCAUCCUGCCAGUUUUUGUCUUUUAACUGCACUUUAAAUAUGUAAUCUACUGUCUUUUGGCCGACCUAGCUUCUGAUGAUAAAUUGGCUGUUAAACUUAUCAAGGAUCCUUUGUACAUCAUGAGUCAAUUAUUCCUUGCUGCUUUCAAGAUUCUCUGUCUGUCUUUGUCUUUUGAGAGGUUUAUUAUAGUAUGUCUUGGUAUGUAUCCCUUUGAGUUUAUCCUUCGUGGAGUUUGCUCAGCAACUUGGAUGUAUGGACUCAUGUUUUCUUUUUAUCAAAAGUCACUACCUCUUAAUAUUGUUGAAGUUUAUUGAGUUAUUAUGUUUAGAGAAC
rnacentral:lncRNA from 1 species